AGCUCAGUGGGUCGAGCGCUGGCUUUGAAAGCCACAGGUCGGUGGUUUCAAAUCCACC
rnacentral:tRNA from 1 species